GCCGUCAACUAUCGGGUGGCACAGCUCGCCAUGGACAACUCAAAGAGUGCAGCACUUAGUCAUUUUGACUUUAUAAUGUGGCACAGAGACUGGAUCAUUAACAAAAAUGUCAAUGACCGGCUUGUUCGUCUUCUCCCUGAUGUUGAGUUGAUCCUUCUGCCAAGACUUGUGGGUCACAUCAACAAAGAGACUGGCAACCACUUCAUCCUAUGGGU